GACCACCCCGUAAGGCUAAAUACUCCUUAGUGACCGAUAGCGCAUAGUACUGUGAAGGAAAGGUGAAAAGGACCCCGGGAGGGGAGUGAAAGAGAACCUGAAACCCUAUGUUUACAAGCUGUGGAACCCCUUUAGAUGGGGAACUGCGUACUUUUUGUAGAACGGUCCGGCGAGUUGCCCGUACUGGCAAGGUUAAGGACUUAAGGUCCGGAGCCGAAGUGAAAGCAAGCGUUAAGAGCGCGAAAAUAGUCAGUGAGGGCAGACCCGAAACCGGGUGACCUAUCCAUGUCCAGGUUGAAGCUUCCGUAAGAGGAAGUGGAGGACCGAACCCACAUCCGUUGAAAAGGGUGGGGAUGAGGUGUGGAUAGCGGAGAAAUUCCAAUCGAACCCGGAGAUAGCUGGUUCUCCUCGAAAUAGCUUUAGGGCUAGCCUCAUCAAAGUCUGCUGGAGGUAGAGCACUGAAUUGUCUAGGGGGCGUCAAAGCUUACCAAAACAUAUCAAACUCCGAAUGCCAGCCAGAUGAUUGAUGGGAGUCAGACUGUACGAGAUAAGUUGGACAGUCGAAAGGGAAACAGCCCAGACCACCAGCUAAGGUCCCAAAGUACGUGUUAAGUGGAAAAGGAUGUGGGAUUUCAAAGACAACUAGGACGUUGGCUUAGAAGCAGCCAUACAUUGAAAGAGUGCGUAAUAGCUCACUAGUCGAGAGAUCCUGCGCCGAAAAUGUCCGGGGCUAAAACACGACACCGAAGCUGUGGAAUGUAGUAAUACAUUGGUAGAGGAGCAUUGUAAGCGGGAUGAAGCCAUACCGUAAGGAGUGGUGGACUGCUUAGAAGAGAGAAUGCCGGAAUGAGUAGCGAGAGGAAGGUGAGAAUCCUUCCGGCCGAAUAUCUAAGGUUUCCAGAGUAAAGCUGAUCUGCUCUGGGUAAGUCGGGACCUAAGGCGAGGGCGAGAGCCGUAGUCGAUGGAUAACUGGUUGAAAUUCCAGUACCACAUAAAAACAGAACUGUGGGGACACAGAAGGGAAAUGGGAGCCAGGAAUGGAAACACUGGUGCAAGCGAAGUAGCCGUAUGGGAGGCAAAUCCCUCAUGCAAGGCAAAGGCGUUACGCGGACCGAACAAAAGUAGGGAAGCCCAGGCCCCCAGCUGUCAAGAAAAGCCGCUAUUGUUUUUUAUGUGCCCGUACCGUAAACCGACACAGGUGGAUGAGGAGAGAAUCCUAAGGCCGACGGGAGAAGUGUUGUUAAGGAACUCGGCAAAAUGACUCCGUAACUUCGGGAGAAGGAGUGCCAUAGCGAUAUGGCCGCAGAGAAUUGGCCCAAGCAACUGUUUAGCAAAAACACAGGUCUAUGCAAAACCGCAAGGUGAAGUAUAUGGGCUGACGCCUGCCCGGUGCUGGAAGGUUAAGGGGAGGGCUUAGCGCAUUAGCGCGAAGGUCUGAACUUAAGCCCCAGUAAACGGCGGCCGUAACUAUAACGGUCCUAAGGUAGCGAAAUUCCUUGUCGGGUAAGUUCCGACCCGCACGAAAGGCGUAAUGAUUUGGGCACUGUCUCAACAACACACCCGGUGAAAUUGAAAUACCAGUGAAGAUGCUGGUUACCUGCGCCAGGACGGAAAGACCCCAUGGAGCUUUACUCCAGCUUGAUACUGGGAUUCGGUACUGCAUGUACAGGAUAGGUGGGAGACUGAGAAUUAAGG
rnacentral:rRNA from 1 species